UACGAAGGGGGCUAGCGUUGUUCGGAAUUACUGGGCGUAAAGCGCGCGCAGGCGGUCCUUCAAGUCAGAGGUGAAAGCCCAGAGCUCAACUCUGGAACGGCCUUUGAGACUAGAGGACUUGGGUACGGGAGAGGUGAGUGGAAUUCCGAGUGUAGAGGUGAAAUUCGUAGAUAUUCGGAAGAACACCAGUGGCAAAGGCGGCUCACUGGCCCGUUACCGACGCUCAGGCGCGA
rnacentral:rRNA from 1 species